CUGCGCACACUCUCCCGGGCUGGCCGGCUCCCUGCCCUGCCCCUCGCGCAGUCACGCGCGUCCACGCAUCGCCCUCGCACCCACGCGACCGACCGGCGGGCGGCGGGAUCCUCGCCUCUUCACCGUGCGCCACGCCACGCAGCUGCGGAGCAUCGUCUAUCCCGCGGGGGCGCAGAGUCACCGCGUACACACCGCACACUCUUUCGGAGCCAGGAGUUCUUGAGUCAUGUUUUGAUGGGAGGAAUAUUAAUAUGUAUUAAUGCUGACUGUCAAGACCUGCAAAUAUAAAUAACGCAUCUGCAACUUGUGAAUCGCUUAAAUUCGCCACUCCACCGCAGCCUUGACUCCUGGCCAGCUCGCCCAGACACCUGGACCGCAGCGCAGCGAAGAGAGCCAGCUGCUUCCUCCUUGGGCCAAAACACCAGCGCAUGGUCCAGGCCAUUGGCAAGUAGACCUGGGUCUAGGGUGUCCAGAAUUUACUGCUGAAUUGACUGCUCUCGCCAGAGUAAAAUCUGUCAAGUCGCAGUUUCUUUUAAUUAAAAAGAAAACGGAGUGGUGUGUGGCAAGUACCCACAGACGUUUGCCUCUUGUGUGCACCUAGCCUGUGCUGAACUUCAUGGGGUGUCAAGUUCAAGUUCCCCCAUCCAUCCUCAGGUGACAGCAUUCUCAGCUCAUGCUGAAAGGUCACAGCAACACACGGGGGAUAAGGUGGCAUUGGGGUCCAGGAUGGAAAGAUAGUCGUCAAAUAUGAUUGAGGCUGAGGAGAUGGCUCAGCAGUUAAAGGUGCUUACUUACAAAGCCCACUGGCCAGGAUUCAAUUCUCCAGCCACCCACAUAAAGCAGGAUGGGCAUGUACAGUGGCAAGACACCC